GCAUCGGUGGUUUAGUGGUAAAAUUAGCCGUUGCCAUUCGCAAGAAUAGACUCGGCUAGCCCCGGGUUCGAUUCCCGGCCGAUGCA